GACAGAGGGUGCAAACGUUGUUCGGAAUUACUGGGCGUAAAGCGCGUGUAGGCUGCUUCGCAAGUCGGAUGUGAAAGCCCUGGGCUCAACCCAGGAAGUGCAUCCGAAACUGCAGAGCUGGAGUCCUGGAGAGGAAGGCGGAAUUCUCGGUGUAGAGGUGAAAUUCGUAGAUAUCGAGAGGAACACCGGUGGCGAAGGCGGCCUUCUGGACAGUGACUGACGCUGAGACGCGAAAGCGUGGGGAGCAAACAGG
rnacentral:rRNA from 1 species